GCCCUAACUUCACUCCGUCUGAGCCCUAAUAGUCAUCAUCUUCCUUGGGUGAUCGUUAUUUGAGAAAUGCUCCAAUAUGUUUAUGUGGGUCGAUUGCACGUCUCAAAAUCUCGAACACUUCAAGAAAU